CUAGGGCGGUGGAUGCCGCGGACGGGAUGUCUUGGCCUUCCACUAUUGAUCGGAGCUCCAGCUUCUCUCUCCACUCUCGCAAGGUAAGUUCGUUUAGAUAGGGCUUUUCUUUGCGUUAGCAGUAAACGAGUAAGACAGCAAUUUGGAAAGCGAAGCUGCUUGCAACGAGCUAAGAGGUCUGUUAGAGGCGAUCAAGAAAUCGUGUUGAAACUCUCAACGUUUGAAAAUUGCAACGCAAAAGGGAGCCAGUGACACUACAAACAACUCAAACGGGCCAAGGAACUCUCAACGCGAAGGAUGUGGACAACGCUCUGUGAAUACAAACAAACUAGAUGUUGCCAGGUUCGCGUGUGUUUUGAAAUUUCUUGUCAUGAAGAAGCCAACAUGUUGGUGCUGCUCAACGACGAUAAGAACUGAAAAACGCCUUGUCACAGCGUGUGCCAAGAAGAAAAAUGCUACUAGAUUGGAGAGAUUUUGUGUCAACGUUUUGGAGAGAUUGUCAGUGCUUUGAGUUAUGUUGUUGCUGCGCUCAACGCAAGACCGGUGAGCUGAGAAACAACGUUGGGCAUCUGCGAUCUUCAGAACUUCAAUCCAGCUGAAGACGUACAUGACAAUGACAACAACAAUCAUGAUCCGUCGCUGAUCCUUAGCCAGACCGGUCAACUGCCGCACCUCUCCACCUCUGAAGGUAAGGGCUUUUCUUUGCGUUAGCAAUAAGCGAGUAAGACAGAGAUUUGCCAGGGACAAGAAAGCGAAGCUGCUAAGAGGUAUGAUAAACGAUAAAAGAAAGGAGGCGAUCAAGAAUUCGUUUUGAAACUCUCAACAGCUGCGCUCAACGCAAGACCUGCGAGCUGAGAAACAACGUUAGGCACCUGCAAUCUUCAGAACUUCAAUCCAGCUGAAGACAUACAUGACAAUGGUCAAACCUCAAUGAAAACAACGAUCAUGAUCCGUCCUUGAUCCUGGACCAGCCCCUCCACCUCGCAAAGGUAAGUUUAUUUAUUUUUCUUUGUGUUGGCAAUAAGCGAGUAAGACAACGGAACAAGAGAGACUUGCUGGAAACAAGAAAGCGAAGCUGCUUGCAACGAGCCAAUUGAAGAAUUCAGGUUUGCUCUUUCUUUUCAAUUGAGAGUGCCGACGACGGGGUCAAGAAGAUGCUAUGCUCAACGCAAAAGGGAGCCACACAGUCAAAAUAAGAUGAUAUGCUCAAUCAAACAACGCAAACAAGCUAAGUGCAAAGCAACAGUCCAAGCAACUCUC
rnacentral:lncRNA from 1 species